GAUCUGACGGGGUGAAGUGGCAUAGCUGGAUAUCCAAUAACAAAGAUGGUGAGACAUGGCCAAUGACUAUGACCAGAGGAAGAGAUAGAAACCAAGCCAAAAUAGGAUGAACCAAGGCCCUUUCCUUGGUUAUUCUUAGGUACCAGCCUGCUCACUGACGGUUGGAUCUUUGGCACAAGCUAGAGGCUAAUAUAGGGAAGAGGUUGGAGGCU
rnacentral:lncRNA from 1 species